GACAGUGUCAGGCGGGGAGUUUGACUGGGGCGGUACAUCUGUUAAAUAAUAACGCAGGUGUCCUAAGGUUAGCUCAGUGAGGACAGAAACCUCACGUAGAGUAAAAGGGCAAAAGCUAACUUGAUCUAUGACCUUCAGUACUGGUAUAGACCGCGAAAGCGUGGCCUAUCGAUCCUUUUGUUGUUCUUAAACGGUUGACAGUUUCAAGCAAGAGGUGUCAGAAAAGUUACCACAGGGAUAACUGGUAGCGCUAAGGCUCAAUGUGGUUUUGGGUGCUUGCACACAGAAUCGCUAGAAAGCAUUGAGCGGUGCAGCGUUACAAACUUUGAUGUUUAGUGUCACCAAUGGUGGCAAGUGCGGGCAACUGUAUUUGCUGCUUUUUAGGCCCAGCGUACAAGUCCCACUGACUUGGGCUUAUUCUUACAAUUGAGAUGUCUACAGGCCUGGGGCAACCUGGGUCCGUGGAUGAGCCAUAGAGGGUGAAAGUCCCUUAAUGCGCGGGUAUUGGUGUCACGAAUCAGAGCAGUGGCGUUCGUGGCGAAAGUUGCGGGCGUUACGGUUUGUCAGAGUCGGGUUGCUUGAGAGUGCAACCUAAAGAGCGAGGUAAACUGCUCGUAAGGCUAUAUUGUAAAUACGGCUACGACACCGAUAGCAAACAAGUACCGUGAGGGAAAGUUGCAAAGUACUUUGAAGAGAGAGUUAAACAGGGCGUGAAACCGCUAGCUGGAAAAACCCGUCUUGAAACACGGACCAAGGAGUGUAGGAGGGUUGUGUUGGUAGCGUUGAAGGCUAAGAGGGAGUGAUCCUGGCUGGAGCUGCCAAUAGUACAGAUCUUGGUGGUAGUAGCAAAUACUCAAGUGAGACCCUUGAGGGCCAAUGUGGAGAAGGGUUCCAUGCUAACAGCAAUUGGACAUGGGUCAGUCGGUGAAUUAGGUUAAUAUUCCUAAACCAAGAUGGGGAGAUGGCACGGACCACGGGAAUCCGACUGUCUAAUUAAAACAAAGCAUUGCGAUGGCCUAAGAUUGUGGUGUUGACGCAAUGUGAUUUCUGCCCAGUGCUAUGAAUGUCACAGUGAAGAAAUUCAUCUAAGCGCUAGUAAACGGCGGGAGUAACUAUGACUCUCUUGUGGUAGCCAAAUGCCUCGUCAUCUAAUUAGUGACGCGCAUGAAUGGAUUAACGAGAUUCCCACUGUCCCUAUCUACUACCUAGCGAAACCACAGCCAAGGGAACGGGCUUGGCAAAAUCAGCGGGGAAAGAAGACCCUGUUGAGCUUGACUCUAGUCUGGCUUUGCGCGGAGUAUGCGUUUGGGGCUGUUGUCUUUCAACGGAGGGCAGUUUUCGGACGUAUGCGUUACGAGUGGAGCCACGAAGUCGUUUCGUAGAUCACGGGUGGCAAACUCAGCCGAGGCACCGUUGUAAAAGGCGGUGUUUUGGUGUAUUUUUGCUCAAAACCCGCUACUGUAAGCGUACACUGCAACCAAUUAGACGGACAAGCGUGGAAAUAGUUGGCGCGUUUAUGGGGCAACCUGUGGCGUGUUGGCGAAAAUAUUUGUGCAUUUGCGUGUAGGUAGCCGCGGGUUAAUGAGUGGUGUGUUUGCGCACAUUACCCGCCCCGCGGUGUAUGACAUUAUUCGUGGAUGCGUGAACUACGCUUGUGUACUGAUUGGCACAAUGAAAAUCGAGCCAUCGUGCUCGUUGCAUAAAAUGCGGUCAAUAUUGUGUUCGUGUACAAUUGCUCGCCGCUUGUAAUAAGCUUGGUAUUUUUGAAUUCAGGCACGUAUAUUGUCAGUGUGCUUGUCGCACGGACAUAUGCGCUGUUUCCUGUCUAAUCGAGUAUCGACUUUUCUGGCGGUUUGAUGUAGUUGAGACGAUAGCAUCGGACGCGAUAAUUGGCUUGCAAUUGAUGGCAGUGAGUAGGUCGGCUUUCCACACGCGUUGAAUCGUGGUCGUCGAGAAUCUUUGUAUAUAAGCGAUUAGUUAUGAUUCAACGCCUAAGAGAAUGGCGAAAGCUAUUUCUGAAUCAAAGGCAGUGUGUUUGAAAAAAAUAUAAAACUGCAUGACUCGAAAGGUGUCAGAUGUGCGGUGCCAUUUAUUUGGCCUGUGCAAAUGACAAAGGCGGUAACGCAAACAAGGCUCUGAGGAUCGAGUUGAUCGGGCUGUAUUCGAGAUACUUUCAUGAGUUUGUAUCUGUGCUGGACUCGUGUUGGCAUGCACGUGUGCGCUCUUGGUGAAAGCUUAGGGUGCGCAUUGUGUGCCUGAUCAAGAUCGGCAUGGAUCGCUCGUUUGUUGAUUGGUACAGCUACGCUUGAUGGUGUUCGUCGUUGUCUUUACGGGCGGCGGCGUGUGCUGUCAAUAAAACGGCGUCAUCGGUCAACAACUAACGAUCGAAUCAGAACUCAAGCUCUCGCAGAAAUGUGAAAUAGUUUCAUCUGGUAAAGCGAAUGAUUAGAGGCCUUGGGAGCGAAACGCUCUCAACCUAUUCUCAAACUUUAAAUGGGUGAGAUGUACGACGUGCUUAAUUGACGCCGUGUGUUUACAGAAUGUAUUGAGAGCUUAGUGGGCCAUUUUUGGUAAGCAGAACUGGCGAUGCGGGAUGAACCGAAAGUGAAGUUAAGGUUGCCGAUAAUGGUGCUUAAGAAUUUUCGUGCACUAGCUACACUCAUGAGAUCCCAUGAAAGGUGUAAGUUGCUUAUGACAGCAAGGACGUGGCCAUGGAAGUCGGAAACAUCUAAGGAGUGUGUAACAACUCACUUGCCGAAGCAACUUGCCCUGAAAAUGGAAGCAGCUCGAGUGUUGAACCUAUACUUGACUCUAGUUAAGUAUCGAGUCGAUCGGUCUUGAUUAGGCCAGACACCGGGAGCCUUGUGCGUCCUGGUUAAUUUACAAUGACGGCACAGUGAAAUCAAAUCAUAUGUGAUCUGAGGCCUACAACAAUGGUCUACAGCGCAACAUAUGCCCACUUGUAUGGUUAUACGCGCAAGUGUUAGCCAAGUGGAGCAAAGAGAUACUUGACUGGUAUUCUCCCACUUGGCCGUACCCAUAUCCGCAGCAGGUCUCCAAGGUUAACAGCCUCUGGUCACUUAGGAUAAUGUAGGUAAGGGAAGUCGGCAAAACGGAUCCGUAACUUCGGGAUAAGGAUUGUGAAGAGACAUGAGAGGUGUAGCAUAGGUGGGAGAUGCACGUUGGGCAACUGAUGUGUGUCGCAAGUGAAAUACCACUACUUUCAUUGUUUCUUUACUGA
rnacentral:rRNA from 1 species